rnacentral:rRNA from 1 species
UACGGAGGGUGCAAGCGUUAUCCGGAUUCACUGGGUUUAAAGGGUGCGUAGGCGGGCAGGUAAGUCAGUGGUGAAAUCUCCGAGCUUAACUCGGAAACUGCCGUUGAUACUAUUUGUCUUGAAUAUUGUGGAGGUGAGCGGAAUAUGUCAUGUAGCGGUGAAAUGCUUAGAUAUGACAUAGAACACCAAUUGCGAAGGCAGCUUACUACACAACGAUUGACGCUGAGGCACGAAAGCGUGGGGAUCAAACAGG